rnacentral:lncRNA from 1 species
AAAAGAAAAAAGUGAUAGGAGAUGGAUAGAAGAAAAUCCUCAUACAGAACAUAUUCUUUAUUUUGAUCAGCAUUUUCAGAAUGCUAUGCCUCAGUAUGUAAAGGUUACGCUUGUAUAGUGCCAUCAAAAUAUCUUUAUUUAGCAAUAAAACAAGAAAAUUCACGAAAAAUGUUUCCCAGCUCGAUCUCUUCGAAUUUCAGUCUUUCCACCGGCGCCAAUGAAUUGCUCAAAAACCUUUCCCAUAUCGGAUUGCUCUGAAGCCUCUCUUUGGACGGACAUCAAGUCUCUCUUCUCCAUCAAUCUAAUUUAAAUAAAACGAUUCUUUCACUUUAUAUCAUAUUUUAUUAAAUAAAAGACAAAACAAAACCUAACCAAACAAAGCAUCAUUCAAAGUUAAAAUUCUACAUUAAUUUAUACAUAUAUAACAACCAUACAAAAAUAACCUUAGCUAAGAACUAUACAUGAUUAAAAGAUUCUCUAUUUGUUUAUAAUUUUUAUUUUUGUGCAACAUCAAUUUGUCGUCAUCAAAACCAUUUAACCCUAGUCAUUCUCCUUGAAUUCUAUCUUCAACUCAAUUUCAAUAUUCUUUAAGUCUUCCCCCUCGUCAUUUAUAGAAUUAUUAGAGCAUGUGAAGUUGGAUUCUCUUACAAUUAACAAAAAAUGCUUUAUUGUUUCGAAUGGGUGGUAAUUGGUUUUGUUAGAAAGACUUUAAGAAUCCGUUAGGAGCUUCUACAUUGGUAGAGACCCAAUAGAUAUCUUAAUAAUAAAAAUAAGAGAAAAUAGAAAAAAUAAGAGAGAAAACAGGAGAAAUAGGAGACAUUGGUCCAAAACUACAGAAAUAGCCAUUUCAUACUCGUACAAUCUCAAAAUUGCCGAUUUCCUUUAAUCUAGGUAGGUUUUAAAAUAUAUUAAAUUAAUUAAUGAAAAGACCCGACCCGUUUUUUUUAAUUCAUUAAUUAAUAGUCUCAUACCUACUAAUUAACCUAACCGAAUUAACCCAACAAUAAAUCAUCAUGCACAGCGGAAACAUAUUAAACCAACAUCAAUUAAUCAUAAUAUUAAUUCAUCAAUCAUUCAAUAACCACAAUUUACACUAGCAACCUAGCAUGCCUCUAAACCAGGUUCCAACAACAAUUAACAUAUUCAUAAACAUAACAACCGAGACCCUAUAUCAUCCUCAUCUCCUCGCCAUGAUUCCACGGAUCACACUAUACCUGCACCACAAACACAAUGAGAUGCGUGAGUAUUAUCACAAAUACUCAGUGAGAGCGAUCCUCCCAUCUACGAGCUAUACACACAAGCUAUGAGAUAACACCCACAUAUAUAACAUAAACAAACCAUUCAUCAAGCUAAACAUCCAAUAACACUUCCAAUUCACCUACAAAUCAUCACAAACAAGUCACUCAAUCCCAAUCGCUUAGAUAAGCUCAUGGUCACGCAUUCACCUUAACAAAGUGAUUUGAAUAACAAAAACAACCAGGAAAGACUCUCCUCGCGACUGCAACAGCCAAACAACGCCCUACAACAAACCACACAAACAAAAAUCUCUAAGAACCAAAAGGACAGAAACAGCAGAAAACCUACAGCCGCAGAAACGAAGCCCUAAAACAUAAACCAAGCGUUAACUUCUUAAUCCCUUCGGUGGAAAGCAAGACUUAGACGUCACGAAUCUCCCCAUAAAAUUUGGUGCCGAUCGGAGAAACGAUGAAAUCACGAUCGCACUUACAAACUCCGCUGAUCCCAAUUCGCAACAGAGAAGAAGCGUCUCACCAAGCUGCAUAUAACUAACUGAGUAUUAAUCCGAAUUCACUUCUGUUAAAACGAGAAUCAACGUACACGCCUUUGGAACAAACCUACCAAAAUUCAUUACCUUUCGAUAAGAUUUGAUACGUCGGAAGUCUAUUCUACCAAGACGUGACGAAUCUGCUUCUCUUGCUUUAAACACCAAAGCAAAG